rnacentral:rRNA from 1 species
GGGCCCGCACAAGCGGUGGAGCAUGUGGUUUAAUUCGAUGCAACGCGAAGAACCUUACCAGGGCUUGACAUACUACGAAUUUUCUUGAAAGAGAAAAGUGCCUUCGGGAAUGUAGAUACAGGUGGUGCAUGGCUGUCGUCAGCUCGUGUCGUGAGAUGUUGGGUUAAGUCCCGCAACGAGCGCAACCCUUAUUUUUAGUUACCAAUCCGUUGGGUUCUCUAGAAAGACUGCCGGUGACAAACCGGAGGAAGGUGAGGAUGACGUCAAGUCAGCAUGCCCCUUAUGUCCUGGGCUACACACGUGCUACAAUGGUAAGGACAGAGAGUUGCCAACCCGCGAGGGUGAGCU